GGGUUGUGAGGUUAAGCGACUAAGCGUACACGGUGGAUGCCCUGGCAGUCAGAGGCGAUGAAGGACGUGCUAAUCUGCGAUAAGCGUCGGUAAGGUGAUAUGAACCGUUAUAACCGGCGAUUUCCGAAUGGGGAAACCCAGUGUGAUUCGUCACACUAUCAUUAACUGAAUCCAUAGGUUAAUGAGGCGAACCGGGGGAACUGAAACAUCUAAGUACCCCGAGGAAAAGAAAUCAACCGAGAUUCCCCCAGUAGCGGCGAGCGAACGGGGAGGAGCCCAGAGCCUGAAUCAGUGUGUGUGUUAGUGGAAGCGUCUGGAAAGGCGCGCGAUACAGGGUGACAGCCCCGUACACAAAAAUGCACAUACUGUGAGCUCGAUGAGUAGGGCGGGACACGUGGUAUCCUGUCUGAAUAUGGGGGGACCAUCCUCCAAGGCUAAAUACUCCUGACUGACCGAUAGUGAACCAGUACCGUGAGGGAAAGGCGAAAAGAACCCCGGCGAGGGGAGUGAAAAAGAACCUGAAACCGUGUACGUACAAGCAGUGGGAGCCUCUUUAUGGGGUGACUGCGUACCUUUUGUAUAAUGGGUCAGCGACUUAUAUUCUGUAGCAAGGUUAACCGAAUAGGGGAGCCGAAGGGAAACCGAGUCUUAACUGGGCGUUAAGUUGCAGGGUAUAGACCCGAAACCCGGUGAUCUAGCCAUGGGCAGGUUGAAGGUUGGGUAACACUAACUGGAGGACCGAACCGACUAAUGUUGAAAAAUUAGCGGAUGACUUGUGGCUGGGGGUGAAAGGCCAAUCAAACCGGGAGAUAGCUGGUUCUCCCCGAAAGCUAUUUAGGUAGCGCCUCGUGAAUUCAUCUCCGGGGGUAGAGCACUGUUUCGGCAAGGGGGUCAUCCCGACUUACCAACCCGAUGCAAACUGCGAAUACCGGAGAAUGUUAUCACGGGAGACACACGGCGGGUGCUAACGUCCGUCGUGAAGAGGGAAACAACCCAGACCGCCAGCUAAGGUCCCAAAGUCAUGGUUAAGUGGGAAACGAUGUGGGAAGGCCCAGACAGCCAGGAUGUUGGCUUAGAAGCAGCCAUCAUUUAAAGAAAGCGUAAUAGCUCACUGGUCGAGUCGGCCUGCGCGGAAGAUGUAACGGGGCUAAACCAUGCACCGAAGCUGCGGCAGCGACGCUUAUGCGUUGUUGGGUAGGGGAGCGUUCUGUAAGCCUGCGAAGGUGUACUGUGAGGUAUGCUGGAGGUAUCAGAAGUGCGAAUGCUGACAUAAGUAACGAUAAAGCGGGUGAAAAGCCCGCUCGCCGGAAGACCAAGGGUUCCUGUCCAACGUUAAUCGGGGCAGGGUGAGUCGACCCCUAAGGCGAGGCCGAAAGGCGUAGUCGAUGGGAAACAGGUUAAUAUUCCUGUACUUGGUGUUACUGCGAAGGGGGGACGGAGAAGGCUAUGUUGGCCGGGCGACGGUUGUCCCGGUUUAAGCGUGUAGGCUGGUUUUCCAGGCAAAUCCGGAAAAUCAAGGCUGAGGCGUGAUGACGAGGCACUACGGUGCUGAAGCAACAAAUGCCCUGCUUCCAGGAAAAGCCUCUAAGCAUCAGGUAACAUCAAAUCGUACCCCAAACCGACACAGGUGGUCAGGUAGAGAAUACCAAGGCGCUUGAGAGAACUCGGGUGAAGGAACUAGGCAAAAUGGUGCCGUAACUUCGGGAGAAGGCACGCUGAUACGUAGGUGAAGUCCCUUGCGGAUGGAGCUGAAAUCAGUCGAAGAUACCAGCUGGCUGCAACUGUUUAUUAAAAACACAGCACUGUGCAAACACGAAAGUGGACGUAUACGGUGUGACGCCUGCCCGGUGCCGGAAGGUUAAUUGAUGGGGUUAGCGGUAACGCGAAGCUCUUGAUCGAAGCCCCGGUAAACGGCGGCCGUAACUAUAACGGUCCUAAGGUAGCGAAAUUCCUUGUCGGGUAAGUUCCGACCUGCACGAAUGGCGUAAUGAUGGCCAGGCUGUCUCCACCCGAGACUCAGUGAAAUUGAACUCGCUGUGAAGAUGCAGUGUACCCGCGGCAAGACGGAAAGACCCCGUGAACCUUUACUAUAGCUUGACACUGAACAUUGAGCCUUGAUGUGUAGGAUAGGUGGGAGGCUUUGAAGUGUGGACGCCAGUCUGCAUGGAGCCGACCUUGAAAUACCACCCUUUAAUGUUUGAUGUUCUAACGUUGGCCCCUGAUCGGGGUUGCGGACAGUGUCUGGUGGGUAGUUUGACUGGGGCGGUCUCCUCCUAAAGAGUAACGGAGGAGCACGAAGGUUGGCUAAUCCUGGUCGGACAUCAGGAGGUUAGUGCAAUGGCAUAAGCCAGCUUGACUGCGAGCGUGACGGCGCGAGCAGGUGCGAAAGCAGGUCAUAGUGAUCCGGUGGUUCUGAAUGGAAGGGCCAUCGCUCAACGGAUAAAAGGUACUCCGGGGAUAACAGGCUGAUACCGCCCAAGAGUUCAUAUCGACGGCGGUGUUUGGCACCUCGAUGUCGGCUCAUCACAUCCUGGGGCUGAAGUAGGUCCCAAGGGUAUGGCUGUUCGCCAUUUAAAGUGGUACGCGAGCUGGGUUUAGAACGUCGUGAGACAGUUCGGUCCCUAUCUGCCGUGGGCGCUGGAGAACUGAGGGGGGCUGCUCCUAGUACGAGAGGACCGGAGUGGACGCAUCACUGGUGUUCGGGUUGUCAUGCCAAUGGCACUGCCCGGUAGCUAAAUGCGGAAGAGAUAAGUGCUGAAAGCAUCUAAGCACGAAACUUGCCCCGAGAUGAGUUCUCCCUGACUCCUUGAGAGUCCUGAAGGAACGUUGAAGACGACGACGUUGAUAGGCCGGGUGUGUAAGCGCAGCGAUGCGUUGAGCUAACCGGUACUAAUGAACCGUGAGGCUUAACCUUACAACGCCGAAG
rnacentral:rRNA from 1 species